CUUACCUGGUCUUGACAUCCACAGAACUUUCCAGAGAUGGAUUGGUGCCUUCGGGAACUGUGAGACAGGUGCUGCAUGGCUGUCGUCAGCUCGUGUUGUGAAAUGUUGGGUUAAGUCCCGCAACGAGCGCAACCCUUAUCCUUUGUUGCCAGCGGUUCGGCCGGGAACUCAAAGGAGACUGCCAGUGAUAAACUGGAGGAAGGUGGGGAUGACGUCAAGUCAUCAUGGCCCUUACGACCAGGGCUACACACGUGCUACAAUGGCAUAUACAAAGAGAAGCGACCUCGCGAGAGCAAGCGGACCUCAUAAAGUAUGUCGUAGUCCGGAUUGGAGUCUGCAACUCGACUCCAUGAAGUCGGAAUCGCUAGUAAUCGUAGAUCAGAAUGCUACGGUGAAUACGUUCCCG
rnacentral:rRNA from 1 species